rnacentral:rRNA from 1 species
CCUACGGGGGGCUGCAGUGGGGAAUAUUGCACAAUGGGCGCAAGCCUGAUGCAGCCAUGCCGCGUGUGUGAAGAAGGCCUUCGGGUUGUAAAGCACUUUCAGCGGGGAGGAAGGCGGUGAGGUUAAUAACCUCAGCGAUUGACGUUACCCGCAGAAGAAGCACCGGCUAACUCCGUGCCAGCAGCCGCGGUAAUACGGAGGGUGCAAGCGUUAAUCGGAAUUACUGGGCGUAAAGCGCACGCAGGCGGUCUGUCAAGUCGGAUGUGAAAUCCCCGGGCUCAACCUGGGAACUGCAUUCGAAACUGGCAGGCUAGAGUCUUGUAGAGGGGGGUAGAAUUCCAGGUGUAGCGGUGAGAUGCGUAGAGAUCUGGAGGAAUACCGGUGGCGAAGGCGGCCCCCUGGACAAAGACUGACGCUCAGGUGCGAAAGCGUGGGGAGCAAACAGGAUUAGAUACCCGUGUAGUC